CCCCUGAGACUGAUAAUUGCUC
rnacentral:miRNA from 1 species